rnacentral:rRNA from 1 species
UCGGUUGAUUCUUAAAUGGAAAGCGGCGAAAGGGAGAGUAACGAGUAGAUACGUACCCAGGGGUCCGGGAUAGCCAUGCGAAAGCGUGAGUAAUACCGGAUAAUGUCUCCGGACCAAAGAUUUAUUGCCCUUGGAGCGGUUUGCUUACUAUUAGCUUGUUGGUGGGGUAAAGGCCUACCCAAGGCUUAGAUGGUUAGCGGGUGUGAGAGCAUGACCCGUCUCACUGGGACUGAGACACUGCCCAGACACCUACGGGUGGCUGCAGUCGAGAAUCUUCCGCAAUGGACGAAAGUCUGACGGAGCGACGCCGCGUGCUGGAUGAAGGCCCUCGGGUUGUAAACAGUUGUCGUAGGGGAGGAAAUUUUGACCGAUCCUAGGAGGAAGCACAGGCUAAGUUCGUGCCAGCAGCCGCGGUAAUACGAACUGUGCAAACGUUAUUCGGAAUCACUGGGCUUAAAGGGUGCGUAGGCGGGUUGGUAGGUCAGAUGUGAAAGCCCACGGCUCAACCGUGGAAUUGCGUUUGAAACCACUAGUCUUGAGGGGAUCAGAGGAGAGCGGAACUGAUGGUGGAGCGGUGAAAUGCGUUGAUAUUAUCAGGAACACCGGUGGCGAAAGCGGC